AGUGGCGGCUAUGACGCCGGGGCGCACCUCUUCCCAUUCCGAACAGAGAAGUUAAGCCCGGCAGUGCCGAUGAUACUGCAUUAACCUGUGGGAAAGUAGGUCGCCGCCCACC
rnacentral:rRNA from 1 species